rnacentral:rRNA from 1 species
GAUGAACGCUGGCGGCGUGCCUAAUACAUGCAAGUAGAACGCUGAAGGAGGAUCUUGCUCUUCUGGAUGAGUUGCGAACGGGUGAGUAACGCGUAGGUAACCUGCCUGGUAGCGGGGGAUAACUAUUGGAAACGAUAGCUAAUACCGCAUGACAACAGUUAUUGCAUGAUAACUGUUUAAAAGGGGCAACUGCUCCACUACCAGAUGGACCUGAGUUGUAUUAGGUAGUUGGUGAGGUAACGGCUCACCAAGGCGACGGAACAUAGCAGACCUGAGAGGGUGAACGGCCAAAAUGGGAAGGAGACAAGGCCAAGAAUAAUAAGGGAGGCAGAAGGAGGGAAACAUGGGAAAAGGACGGAAGACAGAACGAGAAACGACGCGGGAGUGAAGAAGGAUGUCGGAUCGUAAAGCUCUGUUGUAAGAGAAGAAAGAGAGUGAGAGUGGAAAGUUCACAGUGUGACGGUAUCUAAACAGAAAGGGACGGCUAACUACGUG